rnacentral:rRNA from 1 species
AAUCAACGCUGGCGGCGUGCCUCAGACAUGCAAGUCGAACGAUUAAAGCUCUCUUCGGAGAGUGUAUAGAGUGGCGCACGGGUGAGUAACACGUAAGUAAUCUACCUUUGAGUGGGGAAUAACAAUCGGAAACGGUUGCUAAUACCGCAUAAUGCAGCGGCAUCGCAAGAUGACAGUUGUUAAAGGAGCAAUCCGCUUAAAGAGGAGCUUGCGGCAGAUUAGCUAGUUGGUAAGGUAACGGCUUACCAAGGCUACGAUCUGUAUCCGGUCUAAGAGGACGGUCGGACACACUGACACUGAAUAACGGGUCAGACUCCUACGGGAGGCAGCAGUCGGGAAUUUUGGGCGAAUGGGCGAAAGACCUGACCCAGCAACGCCGCGUGAAGGAUGAAGUAUUUCGGUAUGUAAACUU